AGAAACAGCCACUUUGCUUAUCACCUGUUCUGUUCCCAUUAAAACCCAGAAGUUAAGCAGCAUUAACUCUGGUCAAUACUUGGGUGAGUGACCUACUGGGAAUCUCCGUUGUUUCUC
rnacentral:rRNA from 1 species